AAGAAGAAAGAAAGAAAGAAAGAAAGAAAGAAAGAAAGAAAGAGAAAAAGAACAAGAAAGAAAAGGAGGAAAGGAGGAAGGGAGAGAGAGAAGAUCGAAGGGAAUUUGUAAUCAAUAGAUGGACUUAAAUUCUGAUAUAUAAUGGCACACCUUUGAUCAUAAUGACAUAUUCCAAGAAAUUAUGUAAUUUGGAAAAAUGGCAAACUAUCAUAAAUAGUAUAAGUAUUACUGUGAUAUGAUCAUGUAGCAGUUAUACUUGUGGAGUAAUUCAAUGUCAUUCAUCAGUAUUAUUUUUUUAGAUUAUGGGCUACCCAAGAAGAAAAGAGAGUGUACUUUAUAGAUGGUCCAUUAGAGGUUUCAGAGGAAGAGACCAGGAUAGAAGACAAAAAUCAAGGUCUAAAGUUCCUACUGACUCCUCAGCUCUAAAACUCACUUAAUUCUGUGAGAUGGAAUAUUGUUAAUUUCCAAGUUCUGUUGCUAAUAAUUUCCCCAUUGUGCCUAGAAUCCCUAACCAUCCCCAAAGGUUUAUAGAAGGAAAAAAGAUAAUUUAGUUUUCAUUUAGGUUCACUUCCCCACCCCCCACCCUGUGCUCCAAUUUUUCUCCUGGACUCUAUAGACCCUGUGGAAAAUUAAUCACCAUUUUACCUUAGCACAUGUUUUGAGGCAUCUUUGUAAGAAAUGAAAAGAGAAUCAAGCUGAUAUGUUCUGGGAUUUUUAGAACAUGCUAAAAAGAUGAGAAUUUGGCUUAAUAUGAAUCAACUUUGAACAGCCUCAUUUGUAAAAUUUUCCUAUGCUCUAGAUCUCUACUCUAGUGUGUGACAAUAAUCAAUCUGUUUCUCUCAAUUACUGGCAUGAUCAAGUGGGCUUUACAUGAGCAUAAUGUAUAGAUAUUUUUCUUUAAGAAUAGAUAGCAUUAUGCAUCCUGCAGAGUUUACUGGGGUAUAUUCAUUGCAUUAUUUGUUUCAAAACAAAAAAGAAUUGCAGCAGAAGUGCUUUAUAAAUAUUUAGAAAUAUUCUGGGAGUUCCUUUUAAUAGUCAAGCAUGGAAUUUCUUUUUUCUUAGUAUGUGUGAUUUUAACGAACACAUUUUAUUUCUCUCAAUUCUUUAAUUGCUUUAAAAUAGCAUCAGAAAGGCUUAAAAUGCUUUACUCACAUGUGUGGCGUUGUCCAUAAAAGAUGCCAUUACUUAUUAUUUCUUUUAGUUAGCAGCUACACAAAUUGAUGUUGUUCUUGAGGAGUUAAUAUUCCUAGCCUAACUACCCUCAUGGGGAAGAACAUAUUAACCUAAAUGUUGAAUUCAGAUACUGUAACUGUGCCUAUAAUGGUAAACAGUGAAAGAUAACUUAACCUUUGCAGAGUAUAAAUGGACUCCUACUGAGAAAUUAACAUCCUUUCCAAUGGAAUAAUUUGUUUCAAUAUAGGUACUAACAAAGCUAACAAAAACAUAUUUCUCUAGCUAUUUUAAAAUACUAGUCAAUGCUAUAUAUGCAAAGUUAGGAAUUUGUUUCGGACUUUGUGUCUCCUUUUAUAUGCAUUAACUAUGUAAAUUGGGUGAGUGCCUAAAAUGUGUAAGACCGAACUGAAUGCUGAUUAUGUCUAUCCAAUGCCAACAUGCUCAGAAACAACGUGAAUAAUUCAGUAACUCAUCUAGAUGUGGUUUUCUGUGUGAUCUUAAAUCUCUGACUACUGAAUAUACUAGAUGGCUAACCUUUUUUAUUCCCUUUAUUCUUUAAGCAGAUAUUUAGCAUUAUAGUGUUAUUUCAGACACAAUUCUAUUUCAUAAAAUAUACUGGAUUACAAGUCUAAGACAGUUAUAAGAAAAGCACACCUUUACUGUUUUAGAUUACAGUGUGGAUAGCUGGAUUAAAACAAUUAUUUGUGAACUUUGCUAUAAUGGAAUCUUAUUUUUAUAGCUCAGGUACUAUAAUUAGCACUAAUUGCAAGCAGAGGCUGAAAUUAUUAUUGACACCAUAGAAAAAAGUGAGCUGGCCAGACCUGGAGAGUUAUGAAAACAUAUACUUGUUUGCUUAGGGGACAUUUUCGUAGUCAUAUGUACAGUCUUAAAUUUCCCCAAACUAUUUGUUGGAUUAUGUUACAUAAUAUUAAUGGUCAAUGAUGAAGAAUAAAAGUUACUGAAAGAUGGCCUAUUUUUGCUCAAUAAAGAUUUGUUACCAAGACUGCAAUGUAUAUCCUCCUACAUAAGCUAAUCGAAAAAGCAAAUACUAACAUUAAAAAUAGUACUUGCUUCUGUGUAUCAAGAGCUAAGGACCUUUGUGAAAUGUCACCCCGAGAGUAUCUUCAAACUCUCUUUGCCAAUGCCCCAGAAAUCCUUCAUUUCAUUUGGAGGUGUUUUGUUUUGUUUUGUUUUGUUUUGUUUUGUUUUGUUUUGUUUUGUUUCAUUUAAUAGAGUUUCCUGAUGACAAAGAUUUUUGUCCUUUUGUUUGCAAAUGAGUUUCAAGCGCUUAGAACUGGCUUCCUCAUAGAAGGUGCUCAAAUAUUUGUUGAAUGAAUUAAUUCAGAACCUGAAGCAGCAAGGGAAGAAAAAGGAAGCAGAAGGAAGCAUAUUCUUCUGUGAUAAUAGGGAAUCAUAAGAUGUAGUCUUUUAGGAAGAGAAAAUAAAUACAAUGUUUUAGUUUUGUUGGUUUUUUUUUUUGUUUUGUUUUGUUUUGUUUUGUUUUCAGGCUAUUUGUCCUUGCUUUUUUCUCUGAAAGAUAUAUCUAUGGGCCCGUGGCUGUGACUUCUAGCAAAGUAGAUGUGGCAUUUCUGGAUGAAUUUUGGAAUGCUGCUUAAUGUGAUAGACACAAUUCACCUGGCAUAGAGGAAAUUGAAGUAGAAGAAUGUUAAUUGCAUUGCCCAAGAUGUCACGGGAAGAAGGAGAGGUUGCAUAUAGACCUGGAAGUGAGUUGCUGGAAUCCCAUGUGCUUUUCACCCCAUUACCACAUUGCGUCUCCUCAAAGGCCAGAGCCCUGCCUUCUUGGAAGGCAGGUUUAGAAGAAGAGACAUCACUUAUGAAGGAAACACACAGAUAAAUGCAUGACUGUCUAGGACAGGAAACAUUGUUCCUUUUUCCCCUUCAAGUUUUUUCAUCUGGUUUAAGAAUUAAAUUGACACGAGGCAGAUGAACAGGAAUAAAAAAAAAUAAAAACACCAAAAUUUUAUUACGUGUGCAUAAUGAAAUUGAAUCCUAGAGAAAUCGCCAAAGCAGGCAGUUUUUACACUUUCUUAGACAAAGAGACAAUAAAUCUGUGAGAAAUUGACAGGACAAGGAAAACUUAAUUUUGAAAGCUGCAGUUAAUAAGGAAUUUUAAACAGAAUUAGGACUGGGGUAGUAAAUUAGUAGAAAAUAACAAGGGAUGUUUAUACAGCCUUUAUGGGUCUGAAUUUCUUAUCUCUGGUGAUGAGGAUUUUCUUUACCUCCUGGUACAAGGAGGGUAACUUUCACAUGAGAGAUUUAUAUCUCAUUUUCUGGAGACAGAGUGGGGGAGGGUCAUAGGAUGCAUUUUGCAUUGCUGUUUCUUAAGAACUUUCAUUUAAAAUCAUCAGUAUGCCAAAGUGGCACAUUUUGGGGUAGCCAGCACUUGGCCCCUAAAAUUGCUAUGGAAACAAAACAAAACAAGACAGGGUCUUCUUGACUGCAUGCCACAAGGCAGGGAGCAGCAUGUGAGCAUAUCUUGUAUGUGUGAAGUCUCCACCGAGAGAAUGCUAUUAAACUGAGAUUAAUGAAUAUAUAAUAUUUUGCGUGGAUGUCCAAAGCUUCAAACGUAAUUUUUUUUGUUGUUCCUAGAUACUAGCUAACAAUAUUCUAAAGAGGAUAUUUGAGUUGAAAUAACUAGAGAGUUGUGAAUUAGUGCUUUUCAAAAAACAAAAGCAUCCUAUGGGGAAAUUGCCAAUGCUUUCUAUUCCCUGAAGUCUAGGACAUAGGAGUCUUUUAGGUAUAGAUGACAAUGAAAUGUGGAUUUCUUCCAUGAAAAACUUCCAAACAGGUUUCUUCUGUUUUCUGUCACAAAAAUAGAAAUUUUAUUUCUCAGCCUUAUACUUGAGGUAGUGCCUCCCUGCACGCCCCCUCAGAUGAGCCAUACAUUUGCUAGCACAGUGAUUGACCCACGGUGUCUGUAUGGUACUUCUCUAGUGCUGUGAUGCCAUUUGCAUCAGAAGUAAUUGUGGUGUGUAUGUUUUCCCCCUUUCCCCACUCCUAAAUUCCUUAAUUCCUUUGAGAACACCAUUUCACUUCAUGUCGUAGGGAAACUGACAUCCUGGGAAGGUCAUAAAUGCAAUAUAUUUGUUCCUAGAAAAUCAGACUCUAUUUGGGGCUCCAGGAAGAAGCAGUUAACCUGUGCACUUGAUUAACUGACGAAUGAACAUACAUUCACAGGCAAUAUUUCUACCGAGGGUGAGAAGAAAAAAGAGUAAUCUGUAGUGGGUCAUGCCCUUUUUCUGACCCUGGCUUAUAUUUACCACUUUUCCAUGAUAAAGUGCCCAUUGAAAUUAAGUCAAGACAUGGAUAUUCAGCAGAAAGUCCCAGCUGGAAUUCAGAAGAUGCAGUAGAAUUGAACAGAAGACGAACACUCCUGAUACUGAUGUUAAAUUAGCAUCGUGUUCAAAAUGAUAAGUUGGUGCUUUUUACCCUGCAGAUUUCUGUUUUACUUCUUUAUACUUCUUCAGUCUUGAUCCCAAAGUUUAAAGAUUUGGGGGCUGGAAAUCCCCAAAGCUGCUCCUCAAGUCUUUCCUUGGAAUAAUGUGCAGAGUAUGUAAAUCUUAAUGACUGCUUGGCAGAAAGUUCACAACUUUUUAAAUGGUCAUGUUUCCAACAUGAGUAAAAUGAGAUGCUGACAAUUUGCUUAUGAAAACCACUGGGAAUGACUUCAGGUGAUUCUGACUCCAUGAAAAAAGAACAACACAAUAUGGAUAAGAGGAACAGGUAAUGAAGAGCGCGUUUUAAAUCUAUUCUUUAAGUCCCUGACAUAGAUCCUUCUUAAGUAGAUGUGGCAUAAAUAAAAUUGAAUAUAUUUA